rnacentral:misc_RNA from 1 species
UGUAGGGAAUAUAAUCAAAAUUACAUACGAGAAAUUAUUUACAGAAUGCCAGAGAUGAAAUUUUUGGUAAUUUGCAAUGGAAACAUGUCACUCAGUAAUUCACCCGUGUAGUUAUAGGUCUAAGCUUACAGGAGAACCAACCUUAAAAUGCAGAUUUGAGUUCCAACUCUCAUAAGUGGGGAUGCCAUGGUAUUAGAGACCAUUUAUACUUUCCGUCGCCGCGUUCUUCUGACAAAAGCAUCUCCCUUUACAUUAACAACUUCUGAUGCUGAUUUCUCCAAGAAAAUCUUGUGUCCCUUUUUCUGUCCCUUCUUUCCCUUAUCAGGAAAAGAAGUCAUUCCAUUACAAAACUUUUCAUUUUCCUUGUUUGCGAAGUUCUUUGACUGUGUGCUGGCACAAUCUCCGAAUGCAUUCACAGUUUCUCUCUGACCCCCAAGAGAUGAGCACCCAACGAGAUCACAAUCACUUGAAUGGAAUGCGUUUGACUCAUCUGCCAAUGUCAUCUCC